AUCUAGCUGAUAAGUCCCAAUUAGGACGAAACACGCGUCAAAUUUGAU
rnacentral:hammerhead_ribozyme from 1 species